UACGUAGGGUGCAAGCGUUAAUCGGAAUUACUGGGCGUAAAGCGUGCGCAGGCGGUUUUGUAAGUCUGACGUGAAAUCCCCGGGCUCAACCUGGGAAUGGCGAUGAAGACUGCAAGGCUUGAAUCUGGCAGAGGGGGGUAGAAUUCCACGUGUAGCAGUGAAAUGCGUAGAGAUGUGGAGGAACACCGAUGGCGAAGGCAGCCCCCUGGGUCAAGAUUGACGCUCAUGCACGAAAGCGUGGGGAGCAAACAGG
rnacentral:rRNA from 1 species